UACGUAGGGACCAAGCGUUGUUCGGAUUUACUGGGCGUAAAGGGCGCGUAGGCGGCAAUUCAAGUCAUCUGUGAAAUCUCCGGGCUUAACCCGGAACGGUCAGGUGAUACUGUUUUGCUAGAGUGCGGAAGGGGCAAUCGGAAUUCUCGGUGUAGCGGUGAAAUGCGUAGAUAUCGGGAGGAACACCUGUGGCGAAAGCGGCUCACUGGACCACAACUGACGCUGAGGCGCGAAAGCUAGGGGAGCAAACAGGG
rnacentral:rRNA from 1 species